ACUCCUACGGGAGGCAGCAGUGGGGAAUAUUGGACAAUGGGCGCAAGCCUGAUCCAGCCAUGCCGCGUGAGUGAUGAAGGCCCUAGGGUUGUAAAGCUCUUUUGUGCGGGAACCCAAUGACGGUACGGCAAGAAUAAGCACCGGCUAAAUUCGUGCCAGCAGCCG
rnacentral:rRNA from 1 species